AUUCCAGCUCCAAUAGCGUAUAUUAAAGUUGUUGCAGUUAAAAAGCUCGUAGUUGGAUUUCUGGUUUGAGUGUCCGGCCCGCUUCGGCGUGUGCUAUGGAUGUUUGGACCAUUUUUAGUUAGGAUGCCUUUCUGCCAUUAAGUUGGUGGUUAGGUGAACUGGCUUCGUUUACUGUGAAAAAAUUAGAGUGUUUAAAGCAGCCGUUUGGUCAUUGAAUACAUUAGCAUGGAAUAAUAAGAUACGACUUUGGUGGUCUAUUUUGUUGGUUUGCACACCAGAGUAAUGAUUAAUAGGGACAGUUGGGGGUAUUCAUAUUUCAGCGUCAGAGGUGAAAUUCUUGGAUCGCUGAAAGAUGAGCUUAGGCGAAAGCAUUUACCAAGGAUGUUUUCAUCA
rnacentral:rRNA from 1 species